UGUGGACAAAAAAGACCAUAAGAAGCUUUACUGUAGCUUGGUAUUGUGCUCGGGCUUGGAAUGUGCAGGAUAGGUGGGAGGCUUUGAUCCAUUGCCCACGCGUAAUGGUGACCCCCUGGUGAGAUCCCCCUCUUUCCGAGUUAGAGUUAUAACCGUCUCCCGUUAUCCGGGCAGGGAACAGUAUCAGGUGGGCAGUUUGACUGGGGCGGUCUCCUCCUAAAAGGUAACGGAGGCGUGCAAAGGUUCCCUCAGCCUGGUUGGAAAUCAGCCGAAGAGUGCAAAGGCAGAAGGGAGCUUGACUGUGAGACCUACAAGUCGAACAGGGACGAAAGUCGGCCUUAGUGAUCCGGCGUCCGCGUGAAGACCUAGCCAUAC
rnacentral:rRNA from 1 species